rnacentral:rRNA from 1 species
CUAGCUGUAAACGAUGGAUACUAGGCGUUGAGAGUAUCGACCCUCUCAGUGUCGUAGCUAACGCGUUAAGUAUCCCGCCUGGGGAGUACGCGCGCAAGCGUGAAACUCAAAGGAAUUGACGGGGGCCCGCACAAGCGGUGGAGUAUGUGGUUUAAUUCGAUGCAACGCGAAGAACCUUACCAGGCUUGACAUGUCCGGAACCCUGCCCAAAGGCGGGGGUGCCUACGGGAACCGGAACACAGGUGGUGC